rnacentral:rRNA from 1 species
GUGCCAGCAGCCGCGGUAAAACGUAGGAGCCAAGCGUUAUCCGAAUUCACUGGGCGUAAAGCGCAUGCAGGCGGUCCGGUAAGUUGGAUGUGAAAUCUCCCGGCUCAACUGGGAGAGGCCGUUCAAUACUGUUGGACUAGAGGGCGACAGAGGGAGGUGGAAUUCCGGGUGUAGUGGUGAAAUGCGUAGAUAUCCGGAGGAACACCAGAGGCGAAGGCGACCUCCUGGGUCGUACCUGACGCUCAGAUGCGAAAGCUAGGGGAGCGAACGGGAUUAGAAACCCGAGUAGUCC